GGUCCUAUAGCUCAGCUGGAUAGAGCGUUGCCCUCCGGAGGCAAAGGUCAAAGGUUCGAAUCCUUUUGGGACCACCA
rnacentral:tRNA from 1 species